rnacentral:rRNA from 1 species
GAUGAACGCUGGCGGCGUGCCUAAUACAUGCAAGUCGAGCGAACAGACGAGGAGCUUGCUCCUCUGACGUUAGCGGCGGACGGGUGAGUAACACGUGGAUAACCUACCUAUAAGACUGGGAUAACUUCGGGAGACCGGAGCUAAUACCGGAUAAUAUAUUGAACCGCAUGGUUCAAUAGUGAAAGACGGUUUUGCUGUCACUUAUAGAUGGAUCCGCGCCGCAUUAGCUAGUUGGUAAGGUAACGGCUUACCAAGGCGACGAUGCGUAGCCGACCUGAGAGGGUGAUCGGCCACACUGGAACUGAGACACGGUCCAGACUCCUACGGGAGGAAGCAGUAGGGAAUCUUCCGCAAUGGGCGAAAGCCUGACGGAGCAACGCCGCGUGAGUGAUGAAGGUCUUCGGAUCGUAAAACUCUGUUAUUAGGGAAGAACAAAUGUGUAAGUAACUAUGCACGUCUUGACGGUACCUAAUCAGAAAGCCACGGCUAACUACGUG